UGUCGUAACAAGUUUCCGUAGGUGAACCUGCGGAAGGAUCAUU
rnacentral:rRNA from 1 species